rnacentral:lncRNA from 1 species
UGCUGUAAUGUAACAAAUUAAAAUAUUAAAACCUGCCAAAACUUGUCCCUUGCAGCAUCUUCUGGAAGAUCAUUUUGCAGUUGUUCCCAGCACUGUGUAAAAACACAAGUUUUCCCUCCAAAAUGUUCCGCAGCCUCUGCCGAAUUUCACUUAUCAGCUCCAAACGAGUAAUUGUUUGUGUGGUUGUGACAAACAUACGUAUUAAACAUUGAUGUGCUCUGUGACACAACCAUCUAAUUGUAGUGUUUCUAAUUUCCAAACAUUGGUUCCUGUAGUCUUUAAGGAAAUCAAAAAACAUAUACCGUAUAUUUUAACAAAUCUCAAAUUUUAAUUUUUGAGAUGCUGCAGACUAGAUUUACUGUCUUAGACUUUGCCAUUAAAAUUCCACCAUAUCACUGAUCAUUUAUUAGGAAAUUUAUGCCAAAAUAGGCAUACCUUCAGAGGAAGCUCCUUCCCUAAGGGAAUUGUAGGGAAGCAUUUAUAUCCGCUGUGAUCUUAGAGGUACAUGUGUUAUUUUAGCUUCCUAUUGUACGCUGUUUCUUCAGUGUCUCGACAGGUCUCAGUUUGUCCCACUCAACUGAUCAUCCCUUUCUGAGAGCCAUCAGAAGAGCCCAGGAGACAAUCCGCUACAUGAGAAAAUCUUUAUGCAUUUGCAUCUCUUUGCGGAGCCUUACUGUAAACGCAAUAAGUCACACACCCAGGAAAGUGGGAUUUGACUGCUGGCCUGGAGCGGUGAGGGCGGCUCAAUAAAGACGCGCAGUGUGGGAUUUGAGAGGCACAGCUCCUGACUGACCAGAGCGCCCCGUAAGAGAAAAGUCCGCCGCGUUUUGAAGUGCAACCGCGAGCCGAUGGAGAACGCAGAAAUGUCAGCGUGGCCAGCUGUCUCCCCCGGGUUGGGACUCUUUAAAAUGCACCGUAGACCUCACUAAUGCUAAUGGCAACGACUGCUCCUGCUUUGCUACUAAGUGUUGAAUCUCUGCACCUGGAACGUCAGACAAAACUCAUUAUGACGCUGAAACCCGUGGACGUUUACGCACCGUAAAGC